rnacentral:rRNA from 1 species
UACGGAGGGUGCAAGCGUUAUCCGGAUUUACUGGGUUUAAAGGGUGCGUAGGUGGGCCUGUAAGUCAGUGGUGAAAUCUUCAAGCUUAACUUGGAAACUGCCAUUGAUACUAUAGGUCUUGAAUUAUCUGGAGGUAAGCGGAAUAUGUCAUGUAGCGGUGAAAUGCUUAGAUAUGACAUAGAACACUAAUUGCGAAGGCAGCUUACUACCCGAAUAUUGACACUGAGGCACGAAAGCGUGGGGAUCAAACAGG